rnacentral:rRNA from 1 species
CCUACGGGGCGCAGCAGUGGGGGAUAUUGCACAAUGGGGGAAACCCUGAUGCAGCAACGCCGCGUGAGUGAUGAAGGUCUUCGGAUUGUAAAACUCUGUUCUUGGUGAAGAUAAUGACGGUAGCCAAGGAGAAAGCUCCGGCUAACUACGUGCCAGCAGCCGCGGUAAUACGUAGGGAGCGAGCGUUAUCCGGAUUUAUUGGGUGUAAAGGGUGCGUAGACGGGAAUACAAGUUGGUUGUGAAAGCCCUCGGCUUAACUGAGGAACUGCAACCAAAACUAUAUUUCUUGAGUAUCGGAGAGGAAA